rnacentral:lncRNA from 10 species
CACAGUCAGCCUGCAGAGCCUGCGUAUACAAAAAGUCAGCCCUCCGUAUGUGUGGGUUUUGCAUCCUGGAAUACCGCAUUUUUGAUCCAUGUUUUGUUGGAGAAAAUCCACAUAUGAGGGGACCCACAUAAUACAAACCCAUGUUGUUCAUGGGCCAAGUGAAUACCAAAAAGGUAACAUUGAUCCUCUGUGAAUGGUAUAUGCAUAAGAAUAUAUAAAUGUGUAUAUAUAUGUAUUCCUUCAUAUAUAUGUGAAGAACUCACGUGUUCUUCACAUGUACACAUAUAUACACAUACAUGUUCACCUUUUGAACAAUGAUCACACAGUCUGAAAAAAUAGUUUUUUAGUAAAUAAAAAUUCAUUUUCUAGGCUUUAUAUUUUUAUAAAUAUCAAUUAGGUCAAUAAUUGUCAACAAUUAUGUCAAUUAUGUUGAUUUGAUUUCCAUCUAAAUAGUAUCUUCCUUAUAUAUAUCUUUUCCAACACCUUUGGUAAGUGUCUUCCUUACAUGCUCUAUCUCUACGUUCCAAAUGAGUUUAGCCUAUCUCCAGGUUUAGCUCUAUUUCAUCUGUUUUUUAUUUAUAUGCAAAUAUUCCAAGAGCAUGGGUUUGCUAACUCUAAACCAAACAGGGCUUCUCCAACACUCUUCUUAAGUACCAAAGGACAGAACAUUCAUCUUCAUCGUACCUAAAACAGGUCCUUGAGCAAGUAAAUGUUUAAAAAAAUGCUUCUAUCCGAUCUUCACCUGGGCACUGCUUUUUCAUCUUGUGGACCCUAUCUCUUCACUCAGUUGCUAGGAAGCUCCACGUUAAUGAGUGCUCUGGCCAACAGACAGAAGCUUAUGGCAAGUGUUUUGAUACUAUUAAUAACUUCACUCCUAGUUUCUGCUUAACCCCCCUACUCUUCUCUCUGUUCGAUAUUCCAAAUCUACUUAUUAUUUAAUUUAAUUUAAUCUUAUAUUGGAAAUAUUUAUUAAAGUAUCUUAAAUCCUAAUUCUGAAAUAAGAAGGAAUUUUCUUCUUUUCUUUUACAAGAAGGGGUGAUAGUACAUACGCUACUGAUAACAGAACCAGUUCCUUGAGAUUAAAAUGAGAAAUAAGGAUUAUAAAUUAAACAAUCUUUUAGUUGCUACACCUCUUCAUAAAGAUGAAAAUAUUGUUUUUCAUUUCUACAUAGUCCUCAAAAGAGAACUGGAGCCAGAUGCAGUGGUAUGUGCCUCUAGGCCCAGCUAUUUGGGAGGUUGAGGUGGGAAAAUUGCUUGAGCCUGUGAGUUUAAGACCAGCCUGGGCAACAUAGCAAGACCUUGUCUCAAAAAAAAAAAAAAAAAAGUUCAAUUUAUAUAAUAUCUUAUAAAAUCUUCACAACUCUGACAUUGGCUUAGUCACUGCAGAACUUAGAAACUUGUAUAUUAUUCUCUGAACAAGUGUCUUUAUUUUUCUUCUUCCCAUAAACUACCUGCUGCUGGUACCAUUCAAAGAGUCUCCAAAUGUUAGAUUAUUGCUUCCUAUUUCCUAUUGCCCCUAUUGGUGGGGGGAGGGGGGCAAAGUAACUGCCCCCCACCAAAUAUUAUUACAUAUUCUUUUUAGUGAACUGGAUAUUUUUCUUCCAUUUUCUGUAUCUAAAAAUGAAAACUGAUGGUAAAGGGCAAAUCUCCAAAUCAGGAAGAGAUUUUAUAAAAACAUAGAACUUAAAGGCAAACUGUCCAUCUUAUCAAAAUUAGGCUCAAAAGAAAAAUGGUUGUGCAUUUUUAAUAUUAGGGAACUCAAGCAACCAACAAUGUUUUAAAGGUUCCAUAAGCUUCAUGGAAUACUAGAGAGUAGCAUUCAGUAUUUAAUAGCAACCUACCGCACAGGCCCAGCAGCAAAAGAGAUCUUGCUGCAAUAGCACAGUAACCCCUGAGGCAGCAUGCUAACAGAGAAGUGAGGGAGUACAGUGUGCAAUGGUCUAGCAGACACCAGCUGCAGGCAAAGGCAACAGCAGCACAAUCAGUGUUACUACAGUGGAGUGGAUGAGAGGGAAGUCAGGAGAUGAGUUCAGAGAACUAGUCAGGGACUAGAUCACACAGGGCUUUAAAGCCAUUGUAAGCCUGUUUUUCUUUUCUUUUUUUUUUCUUUCUUUUUUUUUGUGAUUCUGAUAAGAAGCCACCAGAAGGUUUUGAAGGGAAAUGAAAGUUCUGAGUAUGUAUGACAAAAAUCACUGCUAUUUGGAAAAGACUGUAGAGGAGCAAGGGCAGAGGCAGAGACUUCUCAAUCAUGUAGGUAGGAGAGGACUGUGGCUUAGCUUAGAGAGGGAGAGAGAGGUGGGCAGAUCUGGGUAGAGUCAACAGAUUUUGUUGGAUGCUUGGAUGCGGAGUCUGACCUAAAAAGAGAAGUCAAGAGUAAAUUCCUAGAAUUCCGGCCUACUUGAAUGGCAGUAACUGAGGCUGUUUAUUGAGAUAAGGGAGGGAGCUGAGGGGAAACAGAGGGAGAACUUGGUGAAUCUGGCAUCAGUAGUUCUAUCUGUCCAUACUAAAUUUAAAUGCCUAUCAGACUUCCAAGUGGAGAUGCUGAGUAAACAGCUGGACAUACACAUACAUCUGGAGCUCAGAAGCGAACUAAAGCUAGGAAUAAAAUUUUGGAAGUCAUCAGCUGAUAGAUAUUAUUUAUAGCCAAGGAAUAUGGCUUGGGAUACAAAUUGUCCUGGGGGAAAGUAUGGCUAGAAAAAUAUGGCCAAGAAAUGAACUCUGUGGCAUACUAAGAUUUAGUGGUGGGGAAGCCUGGAGACACAAUGAAGCAGAAUGAAAUGCAGAAUAUGGUGACCUGGAAGCCAAGUGAAGAAGAAAGAAUAUUAGUGAAGAACAUUAGUGAAGAAAAAAGAAUAUUGAGGAGGGAGUGAUCAAAUGUUACUGAGGGGUCAGGAAAGAUGAGAACUGUGCACAGACACUGGAUUUCACAAGACAGUCAUUGGCAACAUCAGGACCAUGCAGGGGGUAAUGGGGACAAAAAGCCUCAGAUGAGAGGGGGUAGGAAGAAACAGGGAAAAUGAAAAUGGAGACUUAGAUUAAAUCUUUCAAAGAGGAUUUUUGUUUGUUAUAAAAAGAAGCAAAGUAGGGGAGCGGGACCUAGAAUGGGAUGUGUGGUCUAGGGGGGAUUAAAGACAGAAGAUUUAACAGCAGAUAUUUGUUAAAUGAAUACAUUUUAAGAAUAGCAUAAGGAACAAAUGACUCAACACAGAUGCCCAUGAUUCAACAGUGUAAACAUGGUUUAUACUUCAAGUUCCAUACGGUAAGGCGUACAUGUCACAUUUACUUUGCUUCAAAUGUAGGUGUCAAUAUUCUAUACCUGCUUAUCUAUUUUCUGAUUUGAAUGAGAUAUAAAGUGGAGUUGCUUAACUCCAUUUAUAACCAUCCUACUACUUCAAAAUAUUAAAAUGUAAGGAUUGAUGGGCUGAUAGGUGCAGCAAACCACCAUGGCACACGUUUAUCUAUGUAACAAACCUGCAAGUCCUGCACAUGUAUCCCAGAACAUAAAAUUAAAUUAAACAAUAAAAAAAUAGAAAUACAGAUUCUGGAAAUCAAGCUUACCAAAUUAAACCUUCAGAGGUGGGGGGAUGCAUUUUAAACAAAAGUCCCAAAUGCGUCUUACCAUCAGGCUUGUUUGAAAAACACUAAUCUAAGGAAUACUAAACACUUGGAGAAGGACAAGUUCUUCUCCUGUGUAGACGUGCAAUGUGGGUUCAGGGGAUGACACUUCAACUCUAUAUAAUGGUGUAUUUUUACCUCCAGAUCAUAUAGCCUUUCCCACCCUUGCUUUUCAAAAUUAAAAGGAUAAAUUAAAAAAUAAUAAUAAAUAUGAGAAUAUUUUAAAAUACUUUCUUUAAGAAGUUUACUACCGUGGAAAGCUGGAGAGGUCCUAAUACACUGAAAACUAGCUCACAGCUGCCAGUCAAAUUAUUUUUAUCCAAAUUAGCUUUGCACAAAAAGCCAAGUAGGAAAACCCAUGCCAAAACCUCCAGCACUGGCUCUGUGUGCCUGGCAGGGGCUCAUGCAGAGCCUUUAGAGCAUUUAAGACUCUGGGCUAUUUGCUUAUGGUUCUGAGGUGUCUUUUCGAAAAUGGGUUUUCUAGUCAAAAUGAAACAAAAAGGCAGACAGCUGUGUGGAUUUUCCCUUCAGAGUAAGCCAAGUGACGGAAAGGCCUGCCCGCCCCGCUGGGGACAACAGCGCCAGCACCCGCGCCGUCGGGUCGGGUAGGCUGGGGAGGUAGCGCAGGCGGCCUGGCCCCCAGACCACCCCGCGCCCCUGGCGGCCUGGCCCCAGCCCACCCCGCGCCCCCGGCGGCGGCCCCCGCCCUAGCGCCCGGUACUUGCCUGCAGGCGAGCGCCACCACAGUCAGCCCGCGGCUUUUCUGUCUUCCUUUCUGGCCCAGCGAGAGCGCCCAGGGGGUGGGCGUCUUGCCCCGGGCGUCGAGAGUUUGGGGCCGUCCCGUACGCGGCGCGCCGCAACCCAGUCCCCGCGACCACAGCAGCCUGCUCCCCACCGCGCUUGCAGAGCCCGGACGCGCGUGAGUCGGGGGCCCGCAGAGGCCUCACCCUUGGAGGUCGCCGCUUGUCAGGCCUGACUGCUGUUGGCGCCCACCCCGCCGCCCCCGAGGGGCCGCUCGAGGCCGGACUGCUGCUUUGCCGUGGCAGGCCCCACCCGGGACGUGGCGCUGCGGGCCGGGGCGGUCCAGCUGCAAUCCCUACUCCCUGCCAAAGGAGAACCCAGUUACUGAACAUCGGAUGAGACCAUGGAUAGUAAAUUGGGAGUGAAGGUCCAUACCUGGGUCUCAGAAGCACAGUACAGGUUUUUAGAACAAGCCACCUUAUACAAGUUAAAAUUCAUGAAGGAAUGGAUACAGGUUAAGUUACACCAGCCUCCUGAGUAUGACAGCAACAUUCCUUCAGGGAUUAAAGAAAAUGCUUCAGAAGAUUGGAACACUGCUCAGCCUUCCCAACCUUCUUUUACCACUGAUGUUUCUACCUUAGUGAUCUUCCUCCUUAUUUUAAUGCUUCUUUCUCUUUACAAUUAAAAGUUCAUAAAAUCUUUCAACAUUAUUUUUCACUACAAAAGUCUGAAGUUCUCUGUGAAAUGCCUACAUGUAAGAAUUAAGAUAGAUUUUAAAGACUGUCAGUCUCAAAAUUCCAUGCUCAUCAGUUAGUGCAUGAUAUUAAAUUAUGCUUUUUUCCUCCUUUUAAAUAUACCAACAUUAUAUUGCUGAUUUUUUUAUUUACCUGGGUAAGAGCACUGACUCGGUUCUCACUAGGAAACAAAGGUGGGU